ACAGACUGAUACUAGUAUCUCAAUUGUUUGUAAAACAAUUGAAAGGUCUUUCCUGUAAAAGUGAUGUUUUCGUAAUGUACCUUGUACGACCUUUCGUUUGAUAUACGACAAGCAUACCUUCUGAAACUUUCCACUUUUAACACUUAAUGACCUCAUCCGCCUACAUUUUUGAGAUCGGAAUUAUGAUAUAAAUAACAUAGAGUAGAUGAGCUUUCAUUUGAUAUGCAACAACUCUAUGUUCUAGAAAGUUUGAUUUUUGCACUUAAUAACCCUAUCCAACUAAUUUUUGGAGGUCGGGAUUUGAUAUUUCCAAUGUACACAUCAUGACCUUUCAUUUAAUAUACAACAACCCUAUCUUAAAAGAAAAUUUAUUUUUUGCACUCAAUGACCCCAUCCAACCCAUUUUUGGGAGACGUCAAUUUUAAAUUUGAAAUGUACGCUUUAUGUUCUUUCAUUUGAUAUGCGACAACCUUACCAUCUGAGAAAUUUGAAUGUUUGCACUAAAUGACCCCACCCGUCCUCCUGGGAUGAAAAGGGGGUUUAAAAUUUUCAUUUUUAAGUAGAGUUUAUUUAGACCUUCAAUUUGAUAUAUCAGAUGACCCCAUUUGAUAAAGUGCAAAAAAUGAUGCAAUAUCAACUAUAUAAAUAGAAGUUAUGAAACUUACAAAGUCAAUGCAAAACUUGAAAAUUUCAAAUUGAAUUUUUGGCGUUUUUUUCCAUGGAAUGUUUUUGGUAUUUGGUCAAACAUAUAACUAUGUUAACCUCUUCAAUUUCUUAAACAUUUUAAGAGGUACGCUCUUGUUGAUUCAGAAAUACAUGCCUCCGCUCGCAAAACUUCAAACUGCAUUAUCUCUACAACGACAAUAGAUAUCUCAAAUCUGUUAAAUGAUAAAUGAUCUACAGUUGAAGGACAACAUUAUAGAAAAGAAUUGGGACAAUUUCAAAGUUCACCAAGGUCACAAUUAAUCAUCAAAUAUAUGAUGCAAUACCAAACUUAAGAACCGGAAGUCGUAGAGACAUGGGACUAGCACCAUUCAACUCAGGACCACUUGACCUUUCAAAUAUCACAAGGUCAAGGUCAUAGUAUACUGUGAAGGUCAAGGUGAAAUUUCAUCAUGACCUGACAUUGACCUCAAAUUGAAGGUCUUGAAUAUUACUGAUCAUCUUUGCAGUUUAUAGUUAGGUUGAUAUCUGUUACCUUUAAAAAGAUAUACACAAAAUACUAUACUUUUAAGAAUCAUCCCGUUGUAACUUUUGAACAGACGGUCGGACCUUUAUGGGCUUAUAAUAUAAAAUGUAGAGCUCGUCGAGAGGAACAUUUUAUACGCUGUAUGUAUGCAGCAAAGUCUUAUCGUUUUCCUAAUAUGUAAGCUUGAAAUUGCAGCGUAAUUUUAUUUUGCACUCGGUGACCUUUGACCUUGGGUGCAUAUUGAAGGUCACAUGAAUUAAAGAUUAUUGGUGAAGGUUCCAAGUCUCUAUGACUUCCGGUUCUCGAAAUACAAUUUUUUUAAAAAUUAUUUAUCAUUUUUAAAGGGAAAUAACUCCUUAUAAGGGUUAAUAACAAAAUUAAUUGUUAUGUUUAUUAACAUUGCCAUCUGUUCUGUACAUGUUGCCGUUUUCAAUCGAUUCUAUCUCUAAUACUUUUUAGGAAAAAUGCAAAUAAAGAAAUUGCUUUCAAGGGGAUAUAACUCUCAAUAGGGGAUGAUGAAAUCCUAUUCAGCCUCAUAUGGUAAUACAUCAUGAUGAGAUCUACCUAUUGUCCAAAUAAGGUCAUGAUAUCUUUAAAACAAAAGGGGGGCCAUGUUGAAAAAAAAUCAAUAAAAGGGAGAUAACUUCUAAAGGGGAUGAUGAAAUCCUACAAAAGUUCAUCUGGUAAAAGUUCAUGAUGAGGUCUAUCGAUGGUCCAUAUUUGGUCUUGAUAACUUCAACAGAAAGGGGAGGAGGCCCUGUCAAAAAAUGUUGGAAAAGAAAAAAAAAGAAAAAAAGAAAAACAAUUGAAAUGAAAAAUGAUAUACGACAAGCAUACCUUUUCUAAACUUUUCGCUUUUUACACUUAAUGACCUCAUCCGCCUACAUUUUUGAGAUCGGAAGUAUGAUAUAAUGUAACACAGAAGAGAUGAGCUUUCAUUUGAUAUGCGACAACUCCAUGUUCUUAGAAAGUUUGAUUUUUGCACUUAAUAACCCUAUCCAACUAAUUUUUGGAGGUCGGGAAUUUGAUAUUUCAAAUGUACACAUCAUGACCUUUCAUUUGAUAUACAACAACCCUAUCUUAAAAGAAACAUUUAUUUUUUGCACUCAAUGACCCCAUCCAAACCCAUUUUUGGGAGACGUCAAUUUGAAAUUUGAAAUGUACGCUUUAUGUUCUUUCAUUUGAUAUGCGACAACCUUACCAUCUGAGAAAUUUGAAUGUUUGCACUAAAUGACCCCACCCUUCCCCCUGGGAUGAAAAGGGGGUUUAAAAUUUUCAUUUUUAAGUAGAGUUUAUUAAGACCUUCAAUUUGAUAUAUCAGAUGACCCCAUUUGACAAAGUGCAAAUAAUGAUGCAAUAUCAACUAUAUAAAUAGAAGUUAUGAAACUUACAAAGUCAAUGCAAAACUUGAAAAUUUCAAAUUGAUUUUUUGGUGUUUUUUUCCAUGGAAUGUUUUUGGUAUUUGGUCAAACAUAUAACUAUGUCAACCUCUUCAAUUUCUAAAAACAUUUUAAGUGGUAAGCUCUUGUUGAUUCAGAAAUACAUGCCUCCGCUCGCAAAACUUCAAACUGCAUUAUCUCUAAAACGACAAUAGAUAUCUCAAAUCUGUUAAAUGAUAAAUGAUCUACAGUUAAAGGACAACAUUAUAGAAAAGAAUUGGGACAAUUUCAAAGUUCACCAAGGUCACAAUUAAUCAUCAAAUAUAUGAUGCAAUACCAAACUUGAGAACCGGAAGUCGUAGAGACAUGGGACUAUCACCAUUCAACUCAGGACCACUUGACCUUUCAAAUAUCACAAGGUCAAGGUCAUAGUAUAAUGUGAAGGUCAAGGUGAAAUUUCAUCAUGACCUGACAUUGACCUCAAAUUGAAGGUCUUGAAUUACUGAUCAUCUUUGCAGUUUAUAGUAGGUUGAUAUCUGUUACCUUUAAAAAGAUAUACACACAAUACUAUACUUUUAAGAAUCAUCCCGUCGUAACUUUUGAACAGACAGUCGGACACUUUUUGAGGCUCAGUGUAUAAAAUGUAGAGCUCGUCGAGAGGAACAUUUUAUACGCUGUAAGUAUGCAGCAAACUCUUAUCGUUUUCUUAAUAUGAAAGCUUGAAAUUGCAGCGUAAUUUUUUUUUUGCACUUGGUGACCUUUGACCUUGGGUGCAAAUUAAAGGUCACAUGAACUUAAGAUUAUUGGUGUAGGUCCCAAGUCUUUACGACUUCCGGUUCUCGAGAUACAAUUUUUCAAAAAUUGGGUAUAUUUUUUCAAGGGAAAUAACUCCUUAUAAGGGUUAACAACAAAAUGAUUGUAUAUGUUCAUUAUCAUUGCCAUCUGGUCUUGUACAUGUUGCCGUUUUCAAAUCAAUUCUAUCUUGAAUACUUUUUGAGAAAAAUGUAAAAGAAAGAAAAUU
rnacentral:lncRNA from 1 species